rnacentral:rRNA from 1 species
ACAUGCAAGUCGAACGGAAACGAUGGUAGCUUGCUACCAGGCGUCGAGUGGCGGACGGGUGAGUAACGCGUAGGAAUCUGCCUGAUAGUGGGGGAUAGCCCAGAGAAAUCUGGAUUAAUACCGCAUAAUCUCUAUGGAGUAAAGGAGCCCUCUUCUUGAAAGGUUUCGCUAUCAGAUGAGCCUGCGUAAGAUUAGCUUGUUGGUGAGGUAAAAGCUCACCAAGGCGACGAUCAGUAGCGGGGAUGGAAGUCUGAUCCGCCUCACUGGGACUGAGACACUGCCCAGACUCCUACGGG